rnacentral:rRNA from 1 species
AAACCGCGAAUGGCUCAUUAUAACAGCUAUAAUUUACUUGAUCUUGACACAAUCCUACUUGGAUAACUGUGGUAAUUCUAGAGCUAAUACAUGCAUUAAAGCUCUGACCUCACGGGAAGAGUGCAUUUAUUAGAACAAAACCAAGCGGCUUCGGCUGUUUCUGGUUGACUCAUAGUAACUGAGCUGAUCGCAUGGUCUUGCACCGGCGACGUGUCUUUCAAGUAUCUGCCGUAUCAACUUUCGAUGGUAGUGUAUCUGACUACCAUGGUGAUCACGCGUAACGGAGAAUAAGGGUUCGGCUCCGGAGAGUUCGCCUGAGAAAUCGCGAACACAUCUAAGGAAGGCAGCAGGCGCGAAAAUUACCCACUCUCAGCACGAGGAGGUAGUGACGAAAAAUAACGAGACCGUUCUCUUAUGAGGCCGGUCAUCGGAAUGGGUACAAUUUAAACCCUUUAACGAGUAUCUAUGAGAGGGCAAGUCUGGUGCCAGCAGCCGCGGUAAUUCCAGCUCUCAAAGUGCAUAGAAUUAUUGCUGCGGUUAAAAAGCUCGUAGUUGGAUCUGUGCCAUAGGACGUGGUCCACCUUCGGGUGCGUACUACGCUCCUAGGCUUUUUGCUGGUUUUCCCGUCGUAGCCUUCACUGGUUGCGGCGGGUGGCUGGCGAGUUUACUUUGAGAAAAUCAGAGUGCUCAAUACAGGCGUAUCGCUUGAAUGAUUGUGCAUGGAAUAAUAGAAAAGGAUUUCGGUCCUCUUUUAUUGGUUUUGUGGACUGAGAUAAUGGUUAACAGGGA